rnacentral:piRNA from 1 species
UAGGAGGCACGAUCUCAUGGUGACUCCCUG